rnacentral:rRNA from 1 species
CUCACCAGGGGCGACAGCUGGUUGAAGGCCAGGUUGAUGACCUUGCCGGACUAGCUGAGAGGUGGUGCAUGGCCGUCGUCAGCUCGUACCGUGAGGCGUCCUGUCAAGUCAGGCGACGAGUGAGACCCUCGCCCCUAGUUGCUACCGGUUGAAUGCCGGGCACUCUAGGGGGACCGCUGGCGCUAAGCCAGAGGAAGGGGAGGGCGACGGUAGGUCCGUAUGCCCCGAAUCCCCUGGGCUACACGCGGGCUACAAUGCGCAAGACAAUGGGAUGCGACCCCGUGAGGGGAAGCCAAACCCAUAAACUUGCGCUCAGUUCGGAUCGAGGGUUGAAACUCACCCUCGUGAAGCUGGAAUCCCUAGUAAUCGCGAGCCAUACCUCGCGGUGAAUA